rnacentral:rRNA from 1 species
UACGUAGGGUGCGAGCGUUGUCCGGAAUUAUUGGGCGUAAAGAGCUUGUAGGCUGUUUGUCGCGUCUGCCGUGAAAAUUCGAGGCUCAACCUCGAACUUGCGGUGGGUACGGGCAGACUAGAGUGCGGUAGGGGAGAUUGGAAUUCCUGGUGUAGCGGUGGAAUGCGCAGAUAUCAGGAGGAACACCGAUGGCGAAGGCAGAUCUCUGGGCCGUAACUGACGCUGAGGAGCGAAAGCAUGGGGAGCGAACAGG